rnacentral:rRNA from 1 species
UACGUAGGGGGCAAGCGUUGUCCGGAUUUAUUGGGCGUAAAGAGCGUGUAGGCGGCCUGACAGGUCUGCUGUGAAAACUCGAGGCUCAACCUCGAGAUGUCGGCGGAAACCGUCUGGCUAGAGUCCGGAAGAGGAGAGUGGAACUCCUGGUGUAGCGGUGAAAUGCGCAGAUAUCAGGAAGAACACCUAUGGCGAAGGCAGCUCUCUGGGACGGUACUGACGCUGAGGAGCGAAAGCAUGGGGAGCGAACAGG